AUUGAACUCUGGCGGCAGGCCUAACACAUGCAAGUCGAGCGGUAGCACAGAGAGCUUGCUCUCGGGUGACGAGCGGCGGACGGGUGAGUAAUGUCUGGGAAACUGCCUGAUGGAGGGGGAUAACUACUGGAAACGGUAGCUAAUACCGCAUAACGUCGCAAGACCAAAGUGGGGGACCUUCGGGCCUCAUGCCAUCAGAUGUGCCCAGAUGGGAUUAGCUAGUAGGUGGGGUAACGGCUCACCUAGGCGACGAUCCCUAGCUGGUCUGAGAGGAUGACCAGCCACACUGGAACUGAGACACGGUCCAGACUCCUACGGGAGGCAGCAGUGGGGAAUAUUGCACAAUGGGCGCAAGCCUGAUGCAGCCAUGCCGCGUGUGUGAAGAAGGCCUUCGGGUUGUAAAGCACUUUCAGCGGGGAGGAAGGCGUUAAGGUUAAUAACCUUGGCGAUUGACGUUACCCGCAGAAGAAGCACCGGCUAACUCCGUGCCAGCAGCCGCGGUAAUACGGAGGGUGCAAGCGUUAAUCGGAAUUACUGGGCGUAAAGCGCACGCAGGCGGUCUGUCAAGUCGGAUGUGAAAUCCCCGGGCUCAACCUGGGAACUGCAUUCGAAACUGGCAGGCUAGAGUCUUGUAGAGGGGGGUAGAAUUCCAGGUGUAGCGGUGAAAUGCGUAGAGAUCUGGAGGAAUACCGGUGGCGAAGGCGGCCCCCUGGACAAAGACUGACGCUCAGGUGCGAAAGCGUGGGGAGCAAACAGGAUUAGAUACCCUGGUAGUCCACGCCGUAAACGAUGUCGAUUUGGAGGUUGUGCCCUUGAGGCGUGGCUUCCGGAGCUAACGCGUUAAAUCGACCGCCUGGGGAGUACGGCCGCAAGGUUAAAACUCAAAUGAAUUGACGGGGGCCCGCACAAGCGGUGGAGCAUGUGGUUUAAUUCGAUGCAACGCGAAGAACCUUACCUGGUCUUGACAUCCACAGAACUUUCCAGAGAUGGAUUGGUGCCUUCGGGAACUGUGAGACAGGUGCUGCAUGGCUGUCGUCAGCUCGUGUUGUGAAAUGUUGGGUUAAGUCCCGCAACGAGCGCAACCCUUAUCCUUUGUUGCCAGCGGUUAGGCCGGGAACUCAAAGGAGACUGCCAGUGAUAAACUGGAGGAAGGUGGGGAUGACGUCAAGUCAUCAUGGCCCUUACGACCAGGGCUACACACGUGCUACAAUGGCAUAUACAAAGAGAAGCGACCUCGCGAGAGCAAGCGGACCUCAUAAAGUAUGUCGUAGUCCGGAUUGGAGUCUGCAACUCGACUCCAUGAAGUCGGAAUCGCUAGUAAUCGUAGAUCAGAAUGCUACGGUGAAUACGUUCCCGGGCCU
rnacentral:rRNA from 1 species